UCCCAGCAGUCCGAGUCGUGGCCACAUUUAUUAGGUCUAAAACAUUCGUAGCUGGCUUUGUAAGUUCUUUGUGAAAUCCUGACACUUAAUGUUAGGGCGUGCAAGGGAGACUGCAGAGCUUGAGACUGGGAGACGCAACGAGUACGUUCAAGGUAGCGGUAAAAUGUUUUAAUCUUGAGCGGACUAACAAUGGCGAAGGCACGUUGCGAGAACAGAUCUGACAGUGAGGAAUGAAGGCCCGGGGCGCAAAAUG
rnacentral:rRNA from 1 species